UAGCAUCUAUGUCCAAAAUCUCUAACAUGAAACCUUAAGAGAACUCCUGUUGGUGCCUGAGGAGUUGAGUCCUCUUGGUAAUAAUAACUGCCUGAAUGAAAUCCGCCUUUGGAUGGAGAAAGAAUACCCCAUAUUGGAAAGUAAUUAUAGCUUUUAUACUUGUGUGUGUGUGUGUGUGUGUGUGUGUGUGUGUGUGUGUAUGUGUAUGUGCUUUCACAGCUUUUUGGAGACUACAGCCUAUUUCUUCAUGAGACCAAAAAUUGGAGAGAAGGAAGUGUCCCCAAAUGUUUUCUUCGGUAUCUGGCAUGAAUUCAGCUCUGACUUUAAAGACUUUUGGAAGAAAGAGAACAAACUUAUUCUACAAGAAAGAGUAAAAGAAGCUGAAGAGGUGUGCAGACAGAAGAAGGGAAAGUCGCUCUAUAAAAUAAAACCAAGACAUGACUCUGGAAUUAAAGCAAAAAUAAGCAUGAAAACCUGACCAAUGAAAAGCAGAACAAAAAUGAGUCACUGAAGCCACUUCCACAGAAUUCAGCCGGCCCGAGGGCAGGAAGGAAACUCAUCAUUUUGAUCAUGUUUCUUCUUGGCCUCUUGCAUAAUCUUUAUGUUUUCCAGACAGUUUACUGAUUGUUGAAUUCUACACUGUAUUCAUAUAAAAAUGCAAAAGCAGUAGGCCAGUGGAGAAUGUGACACCUUUUCUUUUUGAAAAAGUUUAUGGUAUUUUACCAAUAGACCAAAACAGCAUGUGUAAGAGGCAGUAUCUGCAUUAAUUCUGAACAUGCUAAACAGUAACCUCCAACUUACUGUUGUGAGAAUAUUCCCUGUCGCAGCGAAACACUCUCCUGACGACCAGUACUCCACCUCACUGCAUUUAGAUUUAUGGUUAACAUGUUAUUUCUAGUGACUUGUUUGUAUCAGUUUCACAUCUACAUAAAAAAUUUUCUAUUUUAAAAUUGAGGUACCAUUUAUAUAUGUCAUAGAUAAGGCUUUCCCAGCUCUAGGGUUGGUCUCUGUAACUAUAUAUUUGUGAAAGAAGAUUAUCAUUUUUUUUUAUUCAUCAGACAAUGAAUAGAAAAAAAUAUAGCAAAAGGAAAACCCUUUCUAUACAUCAUUUAAUAUAGGCAGGAAUCAUAAUUUUAAGGUAAAUGAGGGCCUUUAUCAACCAUGUCCUUUAGGACCUACAUAAAGCCAGUCUGCAGCAAAGGUUAAUUAAACCAAAGUUGUGCCUCUCUGACUUUUACCAUUGCCCUUCUCAAAGAAAAUGACACAGUGCUUUUAAAUGAUCCUCAUAAAAUUUCCAAACCUGACAGCUGUUGGCAAAAAAAAAAAAAAAAAAAGUAACUUUUAGAUGGAUUGAUAUCUACCUAGGACUUGUUCAUUAAAUCCACCUGCCUGAGUAUUGUGACUUGAUUGGGGUUUUCUUUAUGUGUUUGGGCAGUUAAUCAAAAGCUAUGAAAUGAGUAUGCAAGAGUUUAUGAUCUAAAGGAGCCUAGGAAAAGAUUUUAUUUUAGUUUGAGAGGGAAAAAGUAUAUCUCCACUCUUUCUCAGAGUAUUUUAAAGUCACUCCUGAAGCAUUGUGAUGGCUUUGUCUAACAUUAAUAGAUUUUUAAAAAUGAUACGUGUUGGGGUAUGAAUAAAGGGGAGACUGUUGCUAUUGCAAACCAGUUAUGGAAGCAACUUAAAAAGAAAAUCUGAAUUGUAACUAUGUUUCUAUUUAUGUAAAAUACUGUCCUGACCUUUCAGUCUGUAGUUGAUGUGCACAGACACAGUAGUAGCUCUCGGGUUGCUGUUCUGCCAUCUUCCUGUCUCCUUCAGUCCCUCCAUGUGUAUAUGAACUUCAAUGAUAUAAUGGGGCAUUUAACAGAGAUUGCUAUGUGCAAUACUGUAUUUAGUGUUUCUAUUUUAAUUUUUCUAGGAUGUUAAUUUAUAUGAAAAUAAAAUGCAUAAUAAAAGA